AAGAGCGCCACAUCCGGACUAACCAAAUAAAACAGCUUGCAACAAGGCAUCCGUGAUCGGUCCUUCAGUCACCGUUCAGCGUUGUAGGUAUUUCUCUACAACAGUCUAGUUUGUGAAGUAGAGCGCCGCCCGAAUGAUCUUGUACUCAUUUUUUCCACAGUUAAGUCCUUGAUAAUACAGUUAAGUUAGGUAAAUUUGCAUAAGUACAAAAAAAUCAUAUGGGUGAAAACAUCGUUACUUUAAACAGACGAUAAGUGUAGAAUCGUACAAUAUUAGUAUUAUAACAGUGGUAUUUUACUUAAAGUAAAAUGUUUUAAAUUAAAUCAUCAUCAUCGACGUCAGAUACAACUUCUACAUCAUCACGAAUAAGAUACAAUUUGUUCAUAUCUGGGAAAUACUGUCACCUUACGACGAAGAUAAGAUGUGCACGUCGUAAAUAUAUUACUCCUGAUGAACCCAAAGAUCUUCAUUUUUCAUUACCAGAAAACUGGAAAACAGCUACAAUGGAUGCUUCGCGAUGUCUUCUCGGGCCGUUGACGCACGCACCCGCCGCCCUGGACUAUCCCGUUCACCCGUUGGGACGCUGUCUGUCCCGUUCUGCCUCUUCUUUUUCACGAAGGACGAGUUCCGCAAAUGACCAUGACGAUCUAUGUGUCAUCGUGAUCAAUAUUAUAAUAACAACUUUAAUGACCACGGCGCAGACUUGAGACCAAAUUAAGGAAUGGAAGAGGAAUACGAUUUGGUGGAAAUUAUUUCAAGCUUAUUUAAUUAAGUAAACAAAUUUUAACAAUUGCAUUAACUCAUAUUGUUGUGUUUUACCGGAUGCAAUAGUAUUAGUAUGUACUAAAUAGUACCAUUUUUAUUUUGUAAUUUUUUUUUUUA